CAGUCCCUAGAAUCUGCCUCAAGUCUCACUUACCACACUAAACACUGCCAUGGGUGAAGAGGUGAUUGUUGGCUUUGAUGGAAGGGUUUUGAUUUGAGAAUCUAUUAUAAUUUUGAUGAAAGAAUCUAAUGAAAUAAAACAGAUAAGCAUGUUUACCAGGCCCCAAGCUGCACCUUCUGCAAGGACUAUGAGCUUUGUGCCAAACAGAUGCCUAUUCAUGGUGAAGGAAGAAGAAACAGCAGGCCCUGAGCUGGCCUUGAACACAGCACCGAACACUUUCCCUUUGCUUCUGACAACCUUGAGGUUCCCUAUUUGGUGCCUUUUUCAGCCAGUAUUUUGCAGCCGUAUCCUUCGUAAUACACACUCUUUGUUAAAGUAAACUCAUUUCUGUUUAUUUCCUGCAUAGAAAUAAAGUAUAACUAACGAU